AAAAGCUCAUGGGAAUUCAAUGGAAUCUCCAAGGUAAAACGACAAACACACCCUGGAGCAGCCAGCCCAAGGAAUCGACGGAAAAACUCACGAAGAUUCCAAGCUGACCGAGCUCAACCUGAAUCCACGCAAGAACAAAAGACUUCACCGUGCUUUGACUCACAAGAACUGAUGAAGAUGAUGAUAAAAGAGUUCGUCCAACGAAAGGAGGAGGACCGGAAGUGGGAAAAGAAAGAGAAACCAGAUUCAGCCUGACUAGCAGCCGGACGAGAAGACAACGACCACCUGACCCAACAAACCACAGAGAACAGCACUCCUUCACCUCACUCUCAGAGAACCGUAACUACCCUAACUUCAAAUGGACUAGAAAUCCUACCUGAAAACCCAGCAACAGAGUUAGUCCCUAACCCAACACCUGAUGCCCCAGAUCACAGCAGCGUCCAGCAAACCCCUGCUGAUGAAACCUCUCAAGUCCCUGAAAGUGCUGUCUUGGUCGUCUGCCAUUCCUCCGUAGAACACCAGAUCAGUCCUGACAUCCUACCUGUUUCCUCCCAAACCCCAGUCUCUCAAAUCCUGGGUGACCUCAUUGAGAAAGGUAUAGCAAGAAAGUUUUACCUCUCCAUCAUCAUCGAACGCCACAUCAAAGUCGAAGCCCUUCACGACACGGGAGCCGACAUCACCCUAAUGUCGACCGAACUCCUUGAAGAAGUCCAAGAAAGACCAAAGAGGUCUAAUAGCACCCUCAAACUUCAAAGGUGUGAGCUGAACUUCCACGCAUAUACCCACACAGGCCUACAACUAAAACAUGUGGCCCCAAUUCACCUAACUGUGGGACCAAUGAAUCUCAUCCACCCAGUGUACGUUUCACCACUCAACACCUAUCCACUCCUCAUUGGGAAAGACCUGCUCAAUCGCUUUGAACCUUUAAUAGACUUCAAGCACCUGAAGAUAUGGACUCAAGUCCACAAGCCUCUGCCCUUCCAGUCAGUAAACCCCAACGAGUCGCAGUGUCAAGCCAAAGACACCGCCCCCCCCCCCUUCACUGACUGACGAUGCAAGGUCAAAGCCAAGAGCAAGCUCAACUCCGAGCAGCAAGAACCAAGACCCUUUCCUCUGCUCAUUGCAAGCGUCUGACUCAGACUCAGGUUCUCUUCGAAUCAUGACUGCCAUAAACGUCCAAGACACACCAGUGGUUGAUGCAGCACUAGCCCUGUGGACUGAAAACUCCGCUAUCAGCCUAAAGCUCUUCAAAACAUUGAAGCAGAGAUAUCGGAGCCUACCACACAUAUCAAAGCACAGCCGCUUCCCUCUCAGUCCGUGGUCAACAACCAUGGCUACCUCCAAGAGGGUUUGCGCUGUAGACCUACGAUGGAACAACAGACUUCUAAGUCACUACUUCCUCAUUGUCCCUAACCUACCUCAUGACAUCUACAUAGGAGCAGACAUCAUGGUUCGUCUCAAUGCUUGCAUUGAAACUGUGAACAACGUCAUAUGGGCUCCUUCGUCACACCAACUGACCACUGCAGUCAAUCUCAAGAACCUUCGAUCUGGUCAAACAAUUCCAGAUGCAUGCGCAAUGAGCAUCGAACAAGAAGCUACAAUACCUGCCUACAGCAAGAGUGUCAGCGUCCGCCUCAACAUGCGACCUGGCCACACUCUCAACAGUAAGCUAGGUUUCUUCCAACCUUCCAGGACCUGCCUAAAACUAGGACUGACCUUGGAAGCCACACCUCUCAUGGAAGUGUCAUCUCGUGCUGUGUAUGUGUUGAUCAACAACUGUACGGCCAAAGACAGCAACAUUCCCAAAGCCAGUCACCUGGGACGGCUCAUCAACCAGGCGUUCCAUGACUUUGAGCUAACAGUACCUGUCAUCGGCCCCAUACCAGCCGAACUAAUGUCAGAGGAAUGCGACGACACUGUAACAUUCCCAAAGCACCAUGAAGUCAUCUCGCUGUCUAUGCUGUCUCAACACAGCCUGCGACAGAAUCACCUGCACAUGUGACCAUCAAGGCCCAGAGUCCCUCAAAUGACUCAACAGAGGUACCCUACGCAGGGUUCAAUGCACAAGUCCAACAAAUCCCGAGCGAGGCGGAUGCCCUCCACAGCGAAACGGAUCGCCAAGGACUUAAAGAGGUUCUGUGCAAAUACAAGGACUCCUUCGCAAAGGAUUCCCUGGACUGUGGCCUCACUGAUAUCCACACAGUGCGCAUCCCAACACAUCCAAAUGCGCCACCCACAUUCGUGCGGCAAUACAAAAUUCCGAUAGCAUCAUACGAAUCGGUUCAAGAGAUCAUUGACUCCAUGCUGGAAAAGGGGGUCAUUCGGCCCUGUAACAGCACCUACUCUGCACCAAUAUGGCCAGUCCUAAAGCCCAACGGCAAAUGGCGGCCCACCAUCGACUAUCGCAAGUUGAACCAACAAGUGCCCUUAUCGCGAUGGCCUAUGACUCAGUUGGACCAAGAGAUUCCCAAAAUCAAAGGCUCAAUGAUCCUUUCCACAUUGGACGUCGCCUCAGGAUUUUGGACCAUCCCUGUCCACCCUGAUGACCAACACAAACUGGCAUUCUCCUUUGCCAAUCGACAGUACACCUUCACACGUGCCCUUUUGGCUAUGCCAACUCACCAGCGGAAUUCAACAUCUUUCUAAACAAAGCAUGCCCUGAUGCCAGAGCCAGAGGCAACCUUGUUUCCGUGGAUGUCCUUAUGAAAAGCUCAAAUGUGGCAGACCACCUCACUGACAACGGCAGGAGCGAAAAUUGCCCUUCAGAAGGGACAGUGGUGUAAAACCAAGGUAAAUUACGUUGCCUUGCUCAUCGGACGUGGUGGCAUCGAACCGCAGUCCAGCCGUACGCAAGCAAUUCAAAACAUAAAGACACCCACUAACUUCCCUCCUGAAAAAGGAUGAACCCUUUGUUUGGUCAGAAGCUCAGGACACAGCUAUGAGCAAGCUCAAAGAAUGCCUAUGCUCCGCCCCAUGCCUGGCCUACCCCGACCCAGAAAAGCAAUUCUAUCUGGAAGCUGGAUUCUCCGAUCAUUGCCUCAGUGCAGGCCUCUACCAGCUCCAUGACAAAGACAAACGAGUGGUCGCUUAUGCCAGCAAAACAUUGCUUCCCCCAGAAUGCAAAUACUCAGACUGUGAAAAAGCGUUGCUUUGCAAUGUAUGGGCCAUUCAGCGUUUCUCCAACUACAUUGGAGCACAAAAGGUCAUCA
ensembl:lncRNA